rnacentral:tRNA from 1 species
GAUAAUGUCAGAUGGUUCUGGAGUUUGAUUGCAGAUCAAAGUUUUAAGGGUUCAAAUCCCUUCUUUAUCU